rnacentral:rRNA from 1 species
AAGACAUCUGAAAGGGAUUAAAGAUUUAUCGGUGAUGGAUGGGGAUGCGUCUGAUUAGCUUGUUGGCGGGGUAACGGCCCACCAAGGCGACGAUCAGUAGGGGUUCUGAGAGGAAGGUCCCCCACAUUGGAACUGAGACACGGUCCAAACUCCUACGGGAGGCAGCAGUGAGGAAUAUUGGUCAAUGGGCGAGGGCCUGAACCAGCCAAGUAGCGUGCAGGAUGACGGCCCUAUGGGUUGUAAACUGCUUUUAUAAGGGAAUAAAGUGAGUCUCGUGAGACUUUUUGCAUGUACCUUAUGAAUAAGGACCGGCUAAUUCCGUGCCAGCAGCCGCGGUAAUACGGAAGGUCCGGGCGUUAUCCGGAUUUAUUGGGUUUAAAGGGAGCGUAGGCCGGAGAUUAAGCGUGUUGUGAAAUGUAGAUGCUCAACAUCUGCACUGCAGCGCGAACUGGUUUCCUUGAGUACGCACAAAGUGGGCGGAAUUCGUGGUGUAGCGGUGAAAUGCUUAGAUAUCACGAAGAACUCCGAUUGCGAAGGCAGCUCACUGGAGCGCAACUGACGCUGAAGCUCGAAAGUGCGGGUAUCGAACAGGAUUAGAUACCCUGGUAGUCCGCACGGUAAACGAUGGAUGCCCGCUGUUGGUCUGAAUAGGUCAGCGGCCAAGCGAAAGCAUUAAGCAUCCCACCUGGGGAGUAC